AGGCCGUGAUGUGGACACUUGCGCAAUAAAUCCUUGUAUAUCUCUCAUGCCUCAUAUAAUGAUUCACCCUCAGUUUGCGUCAAGGUAGUAAUAUCAUUUCCUAACUU